ACAUACGACCAUAGGGUGUGGAGAACAGGGCUUCCCGUCCGCUCAGCCGUACUUAAGCCACACGCCAGUGAGUUAGUAGUUGGGUGUGUGACCACCAGCGAAUCCUCACUGUUGUAUGUUU
rnacentral:rRNA from 1 species